rnacentral:lncRNA from 1 species
AUUAGGGUUGCGAAUUAAAAUGGUACAUAUUAAAAAUAAAAACAUUAUGAUACACCUAAAAAUGAAAAGAAAAACAAAGUUUUUGUGGAUUCACAAUCCCUUCAAUUACAUUCUCCUAAUGACUUUUAAAUAAAAAUAGAGAAAUGCAAGUUGUAAUUGAAAGAACGAAUAAUGCAUAUUCAUAACCUUAAAGAUUUUUUCCACCGUCCGUCAAUUUUAUAAAACGCACUAGAAUUACAGCAUAUAUCCCUAGGGCAAAAUGCAGAAAACUUAGGGCUCCACUAUGUCUCAAAAAUAAGACAUAGGAAAUCAGGUAGUAGGAACAACAUACUAGGGUAAAAACACAAAUUAUGCAUUCGGGAUCUAUAAUAUUUUGUAAAUAAAGACCCAGAGCCUAUAAAAAUAUCUCUAUUGCUUCCCUGAUGCAUCUUAUUCCUAAGAACUUGACAAUCUUUGGGGUGAUUUCUUACUUAAAUCGACAAAUGAUCUCCACCAUAAUUAUAUCACAAAUCACAUAUUGAACUAUGGUACAAAGGUAAUCUAUAGGGGACGUGAUGGCCGCGAAAGCUAGAAUUAAUAAAAUAGAUGGUGCUAUAAAGAAGCAUUGAAAGACAUGGAAGCAUACUGUUGCGGUGGUGAAUUUGAUUUCCGGUUCAGCAACAGCUCCCACUUCUUGACCACUGCCGCCAAUAUCUUGUUCAGCAAUUGGUCCCCUUCUUGACCACUAUUGUCGACAUAUCAUAAAGGAUCCUGAAAGAGUCCGCAUACCAUUAAUCCUGUUAUUUUUGUGCUCUUUAUUUUUUUUUUCACCGACUUUAAAUUUCUUAUCACACUAGCAAAUCUUAUACAUAAAUCUUAAAAUAAAUUACAAAUUAUUGAGUCUAGGAUCAACAGAAGCAAUUACGACAUUUCAGAUAUGGGAUAAAAUACAUUUUCAUAGUUGGAAAAUGAUGCUAAAGCCUCUUGUGUUUCAGAAGGAAGUAUAUCCUUGCAGUGAUGAGAGUUAGGAGGAAUUGAGAAGGGAGAGAGAGUGAGGCGUGAAGAUUGCAGAAUGAAUUGGGAAAAGAUGAGGGUCUCAAGGAAGUAUGAAAUGAUUUGGAAUUGGGAAGGUGGUAGUGUUAUUAUAUAGUGUUAGAGAAGCGAAAGGUUUUAGGGUUUUCAUGUCUCAAAUUACCUGACUCUCACUUCCCAAAUUAACCUUGUAAUGACCUAUGAAUAUCCGCUAAAAUAUGUUGUGUGAUCGCAUAAUUUGGCAUGAGUAGUGGGGAUACCUUGGUAAAAGAAAAGAGGUGAGGUUGGUAGGUGAGAGUAAUGGGGAUAUCUUAUUCAGUACGUACUAUUUUGUUGUUUUUUUUAUCUACUGCAUUAUUCACAUCAAUGCGUUUCGGGUUGGAAAGAUAGAGAGGAGAGGGCUCGGCCUUGUUAGUUGUCACCAUCCCAGAAACAGGCCCUUCACUUUCUGGGGCACAUGAAAGUUGCAUAGCAUACAAACCCCCAAUAGACAUGCCCAUUCAAUUCAACUUUUUGUCCUCUCUCUUCCUCUCUGGUAACCUAGCUACAUCCAUUGUAUUUUUUCAGUUUGCUUGCUCAAUUGCUUUCUAGGAAGAAAUUAACAUUCGAUCAACAAGGAAAGUAAUAAUAAUGAUUUGUAGAUGAAGGUCAUCUCAUAUCUGUCCAUCUUCUUUCUUGUGCCCAGAGCUUGCACCCACCUCAGUAUAUCAACGUAUCAAGGACUAGUGAGUAGCGCGUACUGAUGACUAAUUACAUGUUCGAUUGAAAUUUCUUUUCAUUAAGACCAAUGAAACAAGAUGUAUCUCUAGACCAUCCAUAACCGAAAUGCAAAGUAAAUCAAAGCUCUUAUAUCUGGGUUCAAUCUUUUUAUUGUUGGGAACACAAAUCGGUCUUCAAAAUAUGUUAAUUACUUGAUCAUAUUUUCCUUAUAAUUUUGGGGUAUUUUGAUAUGGGUCCAAAGUAACUAAAAAUUGGACCUAUUUCAAAAGUCAAAAGUCACUAAAAAUUAGACCUAUUUCAAAAAUAUGUUUAUAAAAUUGGACCUAUUUCUAAUUUUCCCUAUAAUUUUUCAGUUUUCAGGCUAAUAAUAUAAUAAGCAUUCUUCAUUACACAUUGAAAAUGCUAAUUUACUUAUUGUCUUCCAUUUUUUUUAGUGUCAAAGCAUAAUUAAAAU